AAUUGGAAUGAGUACACCUUAAAUCGUUUAACGAGUAUCAAUUGGAGGGCAAGUCUGGUGCCAGCAGCCGCGGUAAUUCCAGCUCCAAUAGCGUAUAUUAAAGUUGCUGCAGUUAAAAAGCUCGUAGUUGGAUCUGGGGCUUGAGGUCGCCGUCUAUCGUUUCGGCGAUGACGGUGAUGCUCAGCUCUGCUUGCCGGUGACUGUUGCGGUGUUCUUCACUGAGCGCUGUAGCAGCACGGCACGUUUGCUUUGAAAAAAUUAGAGUGCUCAAAGCGUGCUUGUCGCUUGAAUAAUGUUGCAUGGAAUAAUGGAAUAGGACCUCGGUUCUAUUUUGUUGGUCUCCGGAGCUUGAGGUAAUGAUUAAGAGGGGCGAACGGGGGCAUUCGUAUUGCGGUGUUAGAGGUGAAAUUCUUGGAUCGCCGCAAGACGGACUACUGCGAAAGCAUUUGCCAAGAACGCUUUCAUUAAUUAAGAACGAAAGUCAGAGGUUCGAAGACGAUCAGACACCGUCCUAGUUCUGACCAUAAACGAUGCCGACCAGCGAUCCGUAGUGGUUGCUUUAUGGACCCUACGGGCAGCCUCCGGGAAACCAAAGUAUUUGGGUUCCGGGGGAAGUAUGGUUGCAAAGCUGAAACUUAAAGGAAUUGACGGAAGGGCACACCAGGAGUGGAGCCUGCGGCUUAAUUUGACCCAACACGGGAAAACUCACCCGGUCCGGACACCGUAAGGAUUGACAGACUGAUAGCUCUUUCUUGAUUCGGUGGAUGGUGGUGCAUGGCCGUUCUUAGUUGGUGGAGUGAUUUGUCUGGUUAAUUCCGAUAACGAACGAGACUCUAGCCUGCUAAGUAGUGUUGCUAUUGUUAUAUGGUUGACACUUCUUAGAGGGACAAGUGGCAUUUAGCCACGCGAAAUUGAGCAAUAACAGGUCUGUGAUGCCCUUAGAUGUCCGGGGCCGCACGCGCGCUACACUGGAGAAGUCAGCGUGUGUUAUCCAAGUCCGAAAGGACUGGGUAAUCCGUUGAACCUUCUUCGUGCUUGGGACUGUGGCUUGGAACUAUUCCACAUGAACGAGGAAUUCCUAGUAAUUGCAAGUCAUAAGCUUGCGUUGAUUACGUCCCUGCCCUUUGUACACACCGCCCGUCGCUACUACCGAUUGAAUGGUUUAGCAAGGUCCUCGGAUCGUGGCCGUAGGGGCACGCAAGUGUUUCUGCGGUUUGCGAGAAGACGACCAAACUUGAUCAUUUAGA
rnacentral:rRNA from 1 species